AGCCUGGUGGUGGUGAAACACAGGUGGUGUGUACUCCGCUUCGCGGCUCGUGCAGGCCCCCAGCAUGUGCGGCUUCGCCCGCUCUGCGGGUGCACUGGUUGGAGGGUGGCGUGUCGGUGUGCUGUUGCCCUUAUUAUCUCAUUUGUUUCUUCGUAUCAUGUUUCUCAUCAUCUGUUUCACAUUUUAUAUGACUGCGUUCGUGACGUUUGGAUGUGCCGUUGCGAGAGCUUGCAGGGACCGUAGGAACGAGCGAAGACCGGUUGGCGGGGAAAGAUGAAAAGGAAUAUGCACUGAAGCAAAUUGAAGGUACAGGGAUAUCCAUGUCCGCCUGUAGAGAGAUUGCAGUAAGUGUACAUAAAUGAAAGAAAGUGUUUUUACUGACAUUAUAAUUCAACAGAUAAUAUAUUUUUAUUCUCUGAAUUAAAUAACGCAAAGCUUAUCUAAAUGUUUUCCUUGAAGUAUGCAAGCGUGAAAGUUAUUCAAACAUGAGCUUUCCUUAAAAUGCUUUCUAAAUGUUAUUAUUAUUAUUUUUUAAAAAAUGUGUGGAUGUGUGGAAAGAGGUGUUCUCGCUAGGUAAUGGUAAUUCCUCUUUCUGGUAUUGUUUUUGUUUUAUCUGCUUUUAUGUGUUGGGAGGGAAAUAAAAGUGGCCCUUUUAAUGAAGAUUUAUUUAAA
rnacentral:lncRNA from 1 species